CUCGUCAUUGUCCUAGCUGUCAAACCUAAAAAGCCUCAGUUCGACCUCCAACGAGUCGGUGUUCAAUACAUGGGAAUAACCGCUCCAAAUCUCUUCUCAUUGUCAUCCUCCGACACCGAGACUGCUGCAACAACUUCAACGACAUCCGCAUCGUUGUCGCUCAACAUUCGAUUGCUGUUCACGGCGGUGAAUCCGAACAAAGUAGGAAUAAAAUACGGGGAUUCGAGGUUUACGGUGAUGUACAGAGGGAUACCGCUAGGGAAAGCGAUAGUACCUGGAUUUUACCAAGAGGCACAUAGUGAAAGAGAGGUGGAGGCGACGAUAGCCGUAGAUCGAGUGAAUUUGCUUCAGGCGGACGCGGCCGAUCUGAUAAGAGACGCUUCGUUGAACGAUCGAGUUGAACUGAGGGUUUUGGGUGAAGUU
rnacentral:lncRNA from 1 species